CCUUCCACGCCGCCACCCUUCAUUCAAAAAGAAAGAAACAAAAGAAAGGGAAGAACAGAAAGGGGACAUGAACACAGGGAAGAAAGAAAACAAAAGAGGGAAACGAAGAUCAGAGGGAGAAGAGGGGGGGAGGAAGUCGUCGCCCCUAUCCACUCGUCGCUGCCGCCCGAGGAGCUUCCAAGGACGCUGAUGUCGAGCUCGUAGGUGAGAGAAAGAGAUUUCACGGAGGAACGUGUUGUGCUGCUGUUCAUCGUUGCUCAGCCACCACCGCGCCUUGUUGACGUCGUUAGAGCCGCCCAGUAGCCGUCGCGAGUUGCCCAGUAGCCGCCGUCGUCUUCACGAACCGUCGCUGUCGCCAGGGUCGUGCCACCGUCAUGUCUCACCGGUGUUAAAGGAGCCAUCGUCGAAUGGAGCAGGGAGAGAGAAAGAGAUGCGAAAGAGAGAAAAGGAGGUGGCAGAGACCUUUGCCACUGCUGCUCCCGUCACUGUUGCCGAAGGCGGAGCUCGCCGUUGCUGGAGGUGGGCCGGCGUCGCAUUCUUGCUAUUUUGAGCCACCAGCGCCGCUACUGCUACUCCAAAAUUCCACUUCUGUUUCUUAGGGUUUUCUAUCUCAGCCCUUUUGAAGUUACCGUCGGUUCUGUCCUUGCGAGUGAGGGUCACCGGAGCUGUUGUAAUUCCAGUCUUUUGUUCCUGUGCUAAGGUUAUUCUGUCGCGCCUUGUCUUGCUAUAAUGUUUCAUUAAUUAUAUCUAUCCUACUUUACAUAAAUGUUCCUUUGUAUCCUAACUCUGUCCUACUUUACAUAAAUGUUCCUUUGUAUCCUUACUCAACCUUAAACCAUAAUAGAUUAUUAGAUUUACCGAUGUUGCCGUUUUGUAGCUGCCUCGCGGUGUCGUUCCAUCGUUGCUGUUGCUGGAAGAGGUAGUCGAAGUGGCUACCAUGAAUUAAAAGGAAAGGGAGUUGUUACAAUAGGUUUAUGCGAACUCGCUAAUCAAGAGUUGUUGUGGUUGCUGCGUAAGCGGUUUGGAACUGAGGCUGUAGCUGCCACUGAUUGCGGACCGAAAAGAAAGGGUUUCUUGAUGCGUUUAGUUUAUGAGUUUUGAUUAUUCGAGGAAACCGGAUGAAGAAGCAUUAAGAAGAGUUAAACUACGUUUGGUUUAUACGUUGUUGUAUUAAUUAGAUUAUUUUCUUCCCUCGUCUUUGUUAUUACAAGUUUUUAUAAGAGGGAUAGGAGUUGUAUGUUUUAUAUGUAUAUUAUAUUAUAAGAUAUUAUGUACGGAGUCUUGUAUAUGAAUCUGUGCCGCUUGUAUUUUUCCUAAGAUAAAGUAUUUAUUUCCAGUUUUAAAUGAAAUUAGCGAUACGGUGUCGAGUCACAGGCUCCUAUUUUAAUAUUAAGUAUAUAAAGUAGUCAUAAUACUUCUUGCUAUCAGAGUGGCGCAGCCAGAAGCGUGACAUUCUGGUAGUGAGGGUGUUACACUAGAUCUAAGAGAAAUUAAUCCUAAGAACCCUAACCUAUUUCUAGAGAGAAGAGAGAGCUUCUCUCUCUAGAAACCUAACCUAAAACAUGAUGAAAACUCAAACUAUGACUACUCUCCCCCUUGACCCAUCUUGAAUUCUGCAUGAAAUAGUCUCUGGAAUCAAUUGGAUUUGGGCCUGGAAAGCUCAGAAAUCACCCCCAGCGUUUUCACUUUAAUGAGGUCACAUGCGAGUUGUGACGCGUACGCGUCGCUUGGCAUUUUACUUUCCAUGCGUACUCGUCAUGUCACGCGUACGCGUCGCCUGGCGACCUCAUCUCCACGCAUGCACGUCGAUGCAUGCACUCCAAAUCCUUGAUUUUCCAUGAAUUCUCCACUUUGCAUGCUUUUCUUUUAACUCCUUUGAUCCAUUCCUAGCCUUUUCAGCCUGAAUUCACUAACAAACACAUCAAGGCAUCUAGUAGAAUCAAAGGUGAAUUAAAAUUAACCAAUUAAAGGCUUAAAAAGCAUGUUUUUACACUUAAGUACAAAUUAGGAGAAAGUCAUGAAACCAUGACAUUUCAUUGAAUAAAUGUGAGAAAGUUGAUAAAAUCCUCUAAAUUAGGCACAAGAUAAACCCUAAAAAUGGGGUUUAUCAA